CGACCGGCGCACGGGUGAGUAACGCGUAUCCAACCUGCCCUUUACUAUGGGACAGCCCGUCGAAAGGCGGAUUAAUACCGUAUGUUGUCAUGUUGAUGCAUAUUUUCAUGACCAAAGGCUUCGGCCGGUAAAGGAUGGGGAUGCGUCUGAUUAGCUUGCCGGCGGGGUAACGGCCCACCGGGGCGACGAUCAGUAGGGGGUUCUGAGAGGAAGGUCCCCCACAUUGGAACUGAGACACGGUCCAAACUCCUACGGAAGGCAGCAG
rnacentral:rRNA from 1 species